rnacentral:rRNA from 1 species
UACGAAGGGGGCGAGCGUUGUUCGGAAUCACUGGGCGUAAAGGGCGCGUAGGCGGCCUCUCUUGUCGCGUGUGAAAGCCCCGGGCUCAACCUGGGAACGGCGCGCGAGACGGGGGGGCUGGAGUUCGGGAGAGGAGCGUGGAAUUCCGGGUGGAGCGGUGAAAUGCGUAGAGAUCCGGAAGAACACCGACGGCGUAGGCAGCGCCCUGGCCGCGUCCUGACGCUCGGGCACGAAAGCUGGGGGAGCGAACAGG